rnacentral:rRNA from 1 species
UACGGAGGGUGCAAGCGUUAAUCGGAAUUACUGGGCGUAAAGCGCACGUAGGUGGUUUGCUAAGUCAGCUGUGAAAUCCCCGGGCUUAACCUGGGCACUGCAGUUGAAACUGGCAAGCUAGAGUAGGGUAGAGGGGUGUGGAAUUCCAGGUGUAGCGGUGAAAUGCGUAGAUAUCGUGAGGAAGACCUGUGGCGAAGGCGGGUUUCUGGACAGUUCCUGACGCUGAGGCACGAAGGCCAGGGGAGCAAACGGGG